rnacentral:rRNA from 1 species
ACCUAAACUUAGCUUAACAACACCACAAAACCACCUAUGCCCCCAACCAAACCAUUUAAGUGACUAGUAAAUGAGAUUGAACCCCCACAAUUAAGCCUAACAAGUACCGUAAGGGAAACAUGAAAUAGCAAUGAAAUAUUGAAGUAAAAAAAAGCAGAGAUUAACCCUUGUACCUCCUGCAUCAUGGUCAAGCAAACCCUGCUUAAACAAAGAGCCCUCUAGCUUAACAACCCGAAACCAAGCGAGCUAUUUCCAGGCAGCACCUUACAGAGCACACCCGUCCCUGUGGCAAAAGGGUGGGAAGACCCAGAAAUAGCGGUAACAAGCCUAUCGAGCUUGGUGAUAGCUGGCUACUCAACAAAAGAAUUUAAGUUCAACCUCAGACUCUUACUAGCCCAGAAACUUAACCCAAAGAUCUGAGGACAGUCAAUGAGGGUACAGCCUCAUUGACCCGGAAUACAGCCCGAACUGAGAGUAAAUUAUUAAACAACAAUCGUUGGCCUCAAAGCAGCCACCAUCAAACUGCGUUACAGCUAAGCCAUAAUAAUUUCAACAAUAACCGCGCGCUCCAAAUUAAGUCCGAGUUAUUUUAUAGCCCUAUAAAAACAACAAUGCUUGAACUAGUAAUACGAAAAUUUCUCUAUGCGCCCCCUUACGUCAGAUCAGAAAAACCUACUGACAAUUAACAGUUAACCCUGCACCCUCUACCAAGCCAUGUGCACCUAAACCUGUUCCCCCGACACUGGAGUGCUUAAAAGAAAGGAAAAAAGCUGCAAAAGGAACUCGGCAAACUGAAGUCUCAACUGUUUACCAAAAACAUAGCCUUUAGCCUAACAAGUAUUAAAGGUCAUGCCUGCCCAGUGACUUUAGCUUAAACGGCCGCGGUAUCCUAACCGUGCAAAGGUAGCAUAAUCACUUGUCCCCUAAAUAGGGACUGGAAUGAAUGGCUAAAUGAAGACUCAACUGUCUCUUGCAGCCCACCAAUGAAACUGAUCUCUUAGUCCAAAAGCUAAGAUCAACACACAAGACGAGAAGACCCUGUGGAGCUUAAAACCAACCCCAAAACGAUGGGCCCCGGUUUUCAGUUGGGGCGACUUCGGAGCAUAAACCCCCCUCCGAUACAACACUAGCACACCGAGAUGGACACAUCAAAAACACUAAGACCCAGUAGUCUAAAACCUACCUGAUCAAUGAACCAAGUUACCCCAGGGAUAACAGCGCCAUCCUCUCUUAGAGUCCCUAUCGACGAGAGGGCUUACGACCUCGAUGUUGGAUCAGGACAACCUAAUAGUGCAACCGCUAUUAAGGGCUCGUUUGUUCAACGAUUAAUAGUCCUACGUGAUCUGAGUUCAGACCGGAGUAAUCCAGGUCGGUUUCUAUCUGUGCCGGGAUGUUCCCAGUACGAAAGGACCGGAAUAUCAAGGCCAAUGCUAAAAGCACGCCUUUUUAUUAACUGCUGCCAACACUUAAGCAGCAAGCCGCCUACCCAGGUACCUUUUAAGUU